rnacentral:lncRNA from 1 species
GAAUAUUUAUGGAAGACGAAAUCCGAAUUGCGAUUCUCUAUUGAAUACAUUUGUCAUUGGAAUAUGGAAUUUUAGAAUUAUUCCAGUGCCGAGUUAUAUGGAAUAAAGAAAAGGGUAUGCAGUCUUGACGAGGAACUGCCUUCUCAUUGGUUGAUUUUUGAAGAAAAACGGCUUCUGAGAGCUCUGCAUCAUUUUCCGCCUUUAUUAUCUAUAGUCACCAAUUUUAUCGAAGCUCGCGCCAUUACAAUUUAACAUGAAAUAUUGCUGUGCCUUCUAUAAAUGGCCAGCAAUACAAUAUGCACACGCAACCAAAGGAAUGCACCCGAUUAGGUUAAAUAAAUGCCCCUAUUCUAUUUCUCUUUUUAAAAACCCGCUUAGACCAGUUCAUGCCUCUUGCUUCAACGUUUUAGGUGCAAAGUAAUACGGAAAGAUGCAAUUUAGGUGCCAUAGAGGAGUGAAGUUAGGUUUUGCUAUAAAAAUUUAAGUUUAAAAAAGAGAAAGUUAUCAAGAGUUAUUAAGGAAUAUUUAGGCAGUUUAGCUAUAUUAAAACGAACCAUGUUUACUCGACAAAAUGCAUGUGUGAUAGACAGUAAAAAGACACUGCAUGUUAAGAAUUAAAGUUUUUAUUGUCAAUAAAAAUAUAUCUCCAUGAA